UACAGAAUGGUACAAUGCUCCAUUAAAGAUACAAAAGUUUAUACUUUUUUUACUGAGAAAAACUACAAAAAGUUACAAAAUUAAUGCUGGUGGUCUGUUUAGUCCUAGUUUGGAAGGUUUAACCACGACCAUGAGUUUAGUGCUUUCUGUCAUGACGCUCUUGUGUUCCAUAUAAAGAGAAAUAAAAAGUUCAGUUACAAAAGAUACAUCCAGCGAUUUAACAAUUUUAUUAAGAUACAUGUUAGGUGUAAAGCUGACACAUAUAUUGUGCGAUCCGCACCUUAUCCUGGGGCUAUACUAUAUAGUGGAUCUUUGUCUCUAGCGUGAAAAAGUGAAAAAUUUCAUUGAUAAAUAUUAAACUCGUCAAUGAAGUUUUCUCACUAU